rnacentral:rRNA from 1 species
UACGUAGGGAGCAAGCGUUGUCCGGAAUCAUUGGGCGUAAAGCGCGCGUAGGCGGCCCUGUAAGUCCGUUGUGAAAGUCAAAGGCUCAACCUUUGAAAGCCGAUGGAUACUGCAGGGCUAGAGUCCGGAAGAGGCGAGUGGAAUCCUGGUGUAGCGGUGGAAUGCGCAGAUAUCAGGAGGAACACCGAUGGCGAAGGCAGGUCUCUGGGCCGAUACUGACGCUGAGGAGCGAAAGCGUGGGGAGCGAACAGG